UAAGAACAUACUUAAGGAAAAAAAUAAGAACUUUCUUAAGAAACUUUUUUGAGAAUACAAAAUAUUCUUAACUUUUUUCUUAAGCUUGAAUUUAAGAUAAAAAUGGCAGUUAAGAAGAUUUUUCUUCUUAAGAAUGUUUUGUGAAUCCGGCCCCUGAUCUCUUGAAAAAGUAACUCGUCGAAAAUAUUUUUGUUUUGUUUCGAAUGUAAUAUACGUGUUGUUAAUUUGCUUGUUAUAAGCUAGGUCUUUGUUGUUAUUUUUGCUUAGCAGAGUUUAACGGAAGUUAUGUGUUUUCCACAAAAGCCUCUUUACUGUAAGUUAUGUUGUUACUGCUGAAACCGUCUAUAAGCGUUAGCUUUUGCUCUUGUUUAUGAGCGUUUGGGCUUUUGAAAACAUAGAUGAGAGGUUUCAAAGUCUUUGUUAACGUUGUCAGUGCAUGACUGGAAGUAGGCAAAUUUAUUUAGCCUAAAUAUGCGAUGUACUGUAACAUCUAAACUGUGUUAAAUUGGACGGAACGCUGAAGCUACUAACGUUAGUACGUAUGUUUUAUCGUAUACAAAUACAGACAUGUUGUUCUCUGAUUCCGGAGUGACAAAAACCCUCUAUAAUAGAAGAGAAGCUCAAGAUUUCAACAUUUUCUGAAGGGAGUUGCAGACAGAUGUAGAAAACUGCUUUUCAAAUUUUCCACAUUUAUCACAGUUAUUUUAAGAUGUUGACAUCCAAACAUUGAAUGUUAUGUUUGUAGAUUUGUCCAUGCUAAUGGCCGAGCAGUAGGGUUGGAACAGAGCUGUCAGAAAACAUCUCUAAACCAUAUGACUAAUUUCAAAACAAUUUAUUCUUGAGAGGAGGCACCACAGUUAAAGACGGUGUUUUGAAGAAUUAUGAACUUCCUGCUCACAAACUACAUACUUCUCCAGUUAGUCUGACAGGCUAUCAAUGAGAAGGCGGCAUUACAGGACACCACAGAAAACUAUACCACUAAAAACUGAUUAUUGCUGCAGUCAGAAGAAACAGAUUAACAGCAACUAUCUGCUACAGACCAAGAGAUUGAGCACUGGGUUAAGACAUGGUUGCAGCUUGCCACAGACAGAGAUGGAGGUCGUUGCGCAAAAGAGAAGAUUUAAAGGCAUAGCUCAUGUGGAAAUUAAUUUUGUUCCAUUUUAUAUUUCUUUAAUUAAUCAUUUUAUUCUAUAAACAUUGUGUGUGUUUCAUAUAUGCACUGAGCUAUUAUGUAGAAAUGAGGUGUUUGUGUUUGAGAGUGGAAAGUUACUGAGGGGGAGCAGCUUGUGUGCUGUGUAAAAGCUGCAAAGGAGAUUAGCUAGGAAUGUGCAUCUGGUAAUAGUCAAGAUAAGAGCGAGGCCUGAGGAAGAAAAGCAAACAGACAACCAUGUUAUUAACCAAUGCUUUAAUAUUCACAGGAUAAAAUAUGCAAUGUAUUUCUUACUUAAUCAGUAUUAAUCAUUGAAUAAUUGAUGUAAUAAAUAUAAGAUGUUGUCUUGGAUAAAUGUGUAUUAACCAAUGAAAUGAAGGUUGCAUACAGAAUAACCUAAUGGGGGCAUGGCAGCUCAACCUUGAAGAACAGAAUCUCCUGUGCUUGUUCUUUGUGUGUGUGUGUGUGUGUGUGUGUGUGUGUGUGUGUGUGUGUGUCAUUUCUUCCCUAACAGGCUGAAACUGGGCAUGGUAAGGGAGUCAGAUUAACGAGGAAAAGCAGCCUUUGUGGGUGGAGAUUCUAAGAAGAAGAUCGACGUCACAUACUCUAUAAAUAAUUGUUUCCCCAAAUGCUGGGGGUUCGUUGCUUGCCGAUUGUGGCUUUGAAAUGACCCAGCGCGCUGUAAAACUUUUUCAUAUCUGAUCAAUAAAUAUUCAAUUUAGAUAUUUGUGUCUUUCUCAAAUUAUGAACAUGCAUUGGAUGCCUUAAAGUCCAACAAUUGGUGAUCCCCGACGUUGUUGGAGGGAAAAGAAGAUUAAGAGAAGUUUCGAAUUGCUUAAGGUUGAGUAAGGGAGGGCUCCAUUUCAACACAAAAGACCGGUCUUCUAAAACAAAGGUAAGCAGAAACCUGUUUUAUCAAAUUCUGCUAUUGGACAUAUACCAAAUUAAUUGUGUUGAUAAGGAGAUCCAAACUGAAAGUAAUAAUUGAAUAAAAGAUCAGAUUCAAAAACUUAAAAAAAAAAUAA